rnacentral:rRNA from 1 species
CUCGUAGGCGGUUAGUCACGUCGGAUGUGAAAUCCCAGUGCUUAACACUGGGCCUGCAUUCGAUACGGGCUGACUAGAGUGUUGUAGGGGAGACUGGAACUCCUGGUGUAGCGGUGAAAUGCGCAGAUAUCAGGAAGAACACCGGUGGCGAAGGCGGGUCUCUGGGCAACUACUGCCGCUGAGGAGCGAAAGCGUGGGGAGCAAACAGGAUUAGAUACCCUGGUAGUCC